rnacentral:rRNA from 1 species
CCUACGGGUGGCAGCAGUGAGGAAUAUUGGUCAAUGGACGCAAGUCUGAACCAGCCAAGUAGCGUGCAGGAUGACGGCCCUCCGGGUUGUAAACUGCUUUUAGUUGGGAAUAAAAAGAGGGACGUGUCCCUCAUUGUAUGUACCUUCAGAAAAAGGACCGGCUAAUUCCGUGCCAGCAGCCGCGGUAAUACGGAAGGUCCAGGCGUUAUCCGGAUUUAUUGGGUUUAAAGGGAGCGUAGGCGGAUUAUUAAGUCAGUGGUGAAAGACGGUGGCUCAACCAUCGUUAGCCAUUGAAACUGGUAGUCUUGAGUGCAGACAGGGAUGCUGGAACUCGUGGUGUAGCGGUGAAAUGCUUAGAUAUCACGAUGAACUCCGAUCGCGAAGGCAGGUGUCCGGGCUGCAACUGACGCUGAGGCUCGAAAGUGUGGGUAUCAAACAGGAUUAGAUACCCGGGUAGUC